CCCCCACUCACGUGUGUAGGACCCCAAAGGAUCACCAUUAAAUUUGACAUGGAUGUCUAAAAAAGUUAUCACAUGGGUGUUGGACUUGAUUUUUUUAGAGAUCCGUGCCAAAUUUAAUGGUGAUCUUUGAGGUCCUACACACAUGGGUGGGGG
rnacentral:pre_miRNA from 1 species